GCCGGGCAUGGUGGCGCAUGCCUGUAGUCCCAGCUACUCGGGAGGCUGAGGCAGGAGGAUCGCUUGAGCCCAGGAGUCUGAGGUUGCUGUGAGCUAGGCUGACGCCACGGCACUCUAGCCUAGGCAAUACAGUCUCAAAAAAAAAAAAAUAUUAGGCAGGUGUGGUGGCACGUGCUUAUAGUCCCAGCUACUCAGGAUGCUUGAGGCGAGAGGAUCUCUUGAGCCCAGGAGUCCAAGGCUGUGGUGUGCCAUGAUCGUGCCUGUGAAUAGCCAGUGCACUCCAGCCUGGACAACAUAGUGAGACCCUAUCUCU
rnacentral:SRP_RNA from 1 species